AUACAAAUUUAAUGAAUGAAUGAAUGAAUUAUAAUAAUAAUAAUGGUCAGGCAGCAUGGAUGGAAGUGGCCUCAGCUCAUUGAUUCCAAUACACUGAAUGGGAUAUAGUUCGUCAACUUUUUUGCAUUGAUGCUUCCAUUUCCCAAGAAACUGGCAUCAUGAAAGGGAACUUCAGUAGUGUGGAGGAUAACUUUUUUUUAUUAUUUACUUUUCCCAUAGCAUUGAUUGUUGCGUGUUUGUUGGUAUUUGGGGGGGGGGGGGACCUGGGCAGGUAAAAAAAAUAUGGAAUGACUAGCUGGCUCCCUGAUUCCACACUUAAUAUGUCAUUCUAAAAUGUCACAGGGCAUACUUGUUAAUUAAAACUUUUUUUUUACCUUUCUCUUCGACAAAUGUAAGUAAUAUCCGGCCACACCAUUUUCCAAAACACCAUUUUCCGCCCCUGCU